UGAACGCUAGCGGCAGGCUUAAUACAUGCAAGUCGAGGGCCUAGCAAUAGGACCGGCGAACGGGUGCGUAACGCGUAUGCAACCUACCUAUAUCAGGGGGACAGCCCUAGGAAACUGGGAUUAAUACCGCAUAAUAAAUGACUUCGCAUGGGGUUAUUUUGAAAGAUUUAUCGGAUAUAGAUGGGCAUGCGUAGGAUUAGCUAGUUGGUAAGGUAACGGCUUACCAAGGCAACGAUCCUUAGGGGCUCUGAGAGGAGUAACCCCCACACUGGUACUGAGGCACGGACCAGACUCCUACGGGAGGCAGCAGUGAGUAAUAUUGGACAAUGGGCGCAAGCCUGAUCCAGCCAUGCCGCGUGCAGGAUGACGGUCCUAUGGAUUGUAAACUGCUUUUGCACAGGAAGAACACUCGGACGUGUCCGAGCUUGACGGUACUGUGAGAAUAAGGAUCGGCUAACUCCGUGCCAGCAGCCGCGGUA
rnacentral:rRNA from 1 species